rnacentral:rRNA from 1 species
GUUGUUGUGGUUAAAAAGCUCGUAGUUGGAUCUCAACAGCCUUGAAAGCGGUUAACUUUGUAGUUUUACUGCUUUAUAGGCUGUGCUUUUGCUGGAGGUUUAGGGGUGCUCUUGAUCGAGUGUCUCUGGAUGCCAGCAGGUUUACUUUGAAAAAAUUAGAGUGCUCAAAGCAGGCUAAAAUGCCUGAAUAUUCGUGCAUGGAAUAAUAGAAUAGGAUGUCGAUCCUAUUUUGUUGGUUUUCGGGACUCGACAUAAUGAUAAAUAGGGACAGUCGGGGGCAUUUGUAUUCAAACGACAGAGGUGAAAUUCUUGGACCGUUUGAAGACAAACUACUGCGAAAGCAUUUGCCAAGAAUGUUUUCAUUAAUCAAGAACGAAAGUUAGAGGUUCGAAGGCGAUUAGAUACCGCCCUAGUUCUAACCAUAAACGAUGCCAGCUAGCGAUCUGCCUGCGUUUUUACUGUAGACUGGGCAGGAAGCUUCCGGGAAACCAAAGCAUUUGGGUUCCAGGGGAAGUAUGGUUGCAAAGCUGAAACUUAAAGGAAU